GACAGAGGGUGCAAACGUUGUUCGGAAUUACUGGGCGUAAAGCGCGUGUAGGCUGCUUCGCAAGUCGGGUGUGAAAGCCCUGGGCUCAACCUAGGAAGUGCACUCGAAACUGCGAAGCUAGAGUCCUGGAGAGGAAGGCGGAAUUCUCGGUGUAGAGGUGAAAUUCGUAGAUAUCGGGAGGAACACCGGUGGCGAAGGCGGCCUUCUGGACAGUGACUGACGCUGAGACGCGAAAGCGUGGGGAGCAAACAGG
rnacentral:rRNA from 1 species